ACUCAAAUGAAUUGACGGGGACCCGCACAAGCGGUGGAUCGUGUUCUUUAAUUCGAUGCUAAACGAAGAACCUUACCAGGGUUUGACAUCCUUGGAAUUACUGCGAAAGCAGUGAGUGCUUUAUUGAACCAAGUGACAGAUGAUGCAUGGCCGUCGUCAGCUCGUGUCGUGAGAUGUUUGGUUAAGUCCAUCAACGAGCGCAACCCUUGUGAUUAGUUGUAUUUUUCUAAUCAGACUGCCCCGGUAACGGGGAGGAAGGAGGGGAUGAUGUCAGGUCAGUAUUUCUCUUACAUCCUGGGCUAGAAACACGAUACAAUGGCUAGUACAAUGCGCAGCGAAGCAGCAAUGUGGAGCAAAUCGCAUCAAAGCUAGUCCCAGUUCGGAUAAGAGGCUGAAACUCGCCUCUUUGAAGUCGGAAUCGCUAGUAAUCGCAAGUCAGCAAAUUGCGGUGAAUACGUUCCCGGGUCUUGUACACACCGCCCGU
rnacentral:rRNA from 1 species